CUUUCCUUGGCCACGCCAGUUACCUGUGCGCCCAGAGAGGCAGCGGAUUCCACCGAAGAUAAAAACCCAGGCUAAGGCAUUCAAAGUUCACCCCAAAGCGCCUGUAUAACGUACCUUGUUCAGCUCCUGCUCAUAGACUCGUCCUCCGCCUGUCUGUGUGGUCCCGGAGGGUCGUGGAAGGAAGUUUCCAAAAUUGAGGCAAAGUCUCCUUUUUCCACAUCAACCUAAAAGUCCGGUGAAGACUCAGCAGAGCCUAGCAAGAGCGGAAUGGAGGUCUUUGGCUGGUUCAAGUCCCCGGUUCAAUGGGCUGCUCAGAGCCAGGACUGGGUAAUUCUUUCCAGACGCCUUGACUUCUCCUUCUUCGCUGUUGUUGCCUUUCUGCCUCCUCCAACUUAAGGGGGUCUUAACUAGUGAGCCGGUGGGUGUUUUAAAAGGACGGAGGAGGGAG
ensembl:lncRNA